rnacentral:rRNA from 1 species
CCUACGGGUGGCAGCAGUGAGGAAUAUUGGUCACUGGCCGGAAGGCUGAACCAGCCAUGUCGCGUGAAGGUCAGUGCCCUAUUGGCGUUAAACUUCUUUUGUGCGGGAGCAAUAAUUGUCACGUGUGGCCAGACGAGAGUACCGUACGCAUAAGCAUCGGCUAACUCCGGGCCAGCAGCCGCGGUAAUGCGCGGAAUGCAAGCGUUAUCCGGGUUUAUUGGGUUUAAAGGGUGCGUAGGCUGUGAGGUAAGUCAGCGGUGAAAUGCCCCCGCUCAACGGGGUGAAGUGCCAUUGAUACUGCCUUGCUAGAGUGCGGAUGCCGUGGGAGGAAUGUGUGGUGUAGCGGUGAAAUGCAUAGAUAU